ensembl:lncRNA
ACUGUGGCUCUUGUUGUUAGGCCUUAAUCAGGUGCUUCUUUGCUGUUAAGGGUUGGGGGUCUGCAUCCCUUAAGCAGGAGGACCAGCAAAGAAAUGGUGGUUUCCGAGAAGAAAGUCAAAGUGUUGUGGUCAGAAGAGAGACGGUGGAUUCCAGGCAGAAAGAGACAACUGCUGUUUCGUUUUGAGAUUCCAUAAGAAUAUGUCUGUGGAACAAUGGAAGCCUACAAGACAGGCUAGGCUUCCUGGGAAUGGAUUCCACAAGGAAGGAAAUGCCAGCCAAUGGGCGAGUCAUGUCCCCUGCCAGAGCACGUCUCCUCUCGCUAGCACUGCGAUCACACAUGUUUCACAAUCCCCACAUCUGCUCUGCUAGUGGCUUCAGAGUGGGAGUUCCGAAGACAGUCAGAACAACUUGCUGAUGGAGAAAGAAACCGAAUACAGACCUGGCAUGCCGGGAAGUGGGGGUGGGGAAUGACUUUAUCAUCAUCAUUCUGUUUCUCUCUCUUUAGAAGGUCAGGUUGGCUGUGUCAAGGAAAGCCCUCGAAGGUGGUAAUUCUGCCUUUGACUUCAGCCGGUAGACUUGACAUGCACUCCCCAUGGUAGCUGGUUUGUGCUGAACCUGUCACUGCCUCUUCAAAACAUUGCUGGUUUCCAUGGGAACAGAGCAGCACUUACUGAAAGAGCUGCUGGAAAUUUCAAGAUGUCCAAAACUGUCCCUCUAAUGUGUUUUUCUAAGACCUGAUUUGAAAGAGAAACAAUAGCACAACUUGGCAAAGAAGACAAUGGAAGAGGAAUGAUAAUAAGAGUGGCUUGACAGCGUUUGUGGAUCCCAGCAUGCUGUCUUGAUUCUGCCCUUUAGAAAUCAGUCCCAGGGAGAUACUGGCUGAAGCAGAUUCAUGAUCCACGGGCUCCUGACUUCAGACGUGGCUUUGUUAUGGACAGCAAGCCUAUUUGCUGUUUUCAGAGUUUAAAUCUCCACAGGACAAUGCAGCAACAUAACUGGGAAUACACUUGCUAAAUGAGCCUCUUGCAUGCCUGUCUACCUCCUACUCUCUGAGCUAAAAAAGAGCUCAGCAACUGGGAUGAUUAUAUAUCUAUUUUUUAAAGCCACUCUGUAAGGUGGUAACGUGAAAUGAAAGAUAAUGCUUUUCUUUAACCGUUGUCAGGUUGGCAUACCAGAAGAUGAGAUUUUUCUUUUCAUCUCCUUUAAUUAAUUUUUCAAAAAUAGAUUCGAAAAAGAAUUAGACAAAUGAGAGUUUUUGAAAUUUCUCUUAUGAUAUAAAAAC